rnacentral:tRNA from 1 species
CCUGGUGCCUCAGUCGGUAAAGCAUCUGCCUGCAAUGCAGGAGACCCAGGUUCUAUUCCUGGGUCAGGA